rnacentral:misc_RNA from 1 species
GCAAACUAUAAACAUUUAUGACAAUGAUAAUAAAAUAUACUCCAUUUAAAUAACAAUAAAAUAUAACCUGAUAUUUAUAAAAAAAAAUGUCAUAAUUUUAUAAACAAAGCCAUGCUUAUAGCCAUAUUUAAGAGUUGCAUCCAUUGAGUCAAAGAGGAGUGCUAGUGUUUGUGCCUUAAAGGCUACAACACCUCUUGAAGAUGUCACGUGAAACAAAGCUGCACUCAAGUAAGUAAAAAAUGAAGAAAAAAAAAACACAUGCUAAAAUUAAGAAACAAGAUUAUUGAGUCAAGAUAGCUGACCAAGUCUUUUGGGAAAUUCGUUUAGGUUGUUGCUAUUUUUUAUGGUGGUAUAACUGUUGAAUGUGUAGCAUACUUAGUUUUUUUUAUAUACUUUUUUUUGGUUAUUUUUGUUCGUUUAUAAAUGCUUGCUUCAAUGAACACAAUUAUAUGACCAUUCAGCUACAUAAUAAAGCCUUUAUUUGUUAACUUUUUUUAAUCUUUAUUAGCACUUAAAAAACAAUAUAAUGUGAUAGUUAUGCAUAUCCAAGGAAUCUUUUUUUUAUUGGUUUUAAAGGGGUUUUGAAAUACAACCAUGCAUAAACCAAAAAAGAAAGAUUAGAAAGUGAAAUCAAACAUACCUUUUGUUUCAUGAGAACAAAGAAUAGAUCUAUUGAAAAGGCAUAAAUAAAGAACAAACAUCAACCUAAGGAGCAAAAUUAGGAAGCCCAAAAUACCAAACAAUACAAGCAAAGGAAAGAAGGGAGAAUCCUUGGCGUAGAAGACUUGGAGUAGACUUGAAUUUUGUAAAUGACAACGAGUAAGAGAAUUUUAGGUCCAAUGAGAGAAGAAAGUGGGGAUUGAUUGUGGUGAUUUUAGCAGCUUGCACAUUUUAUCUAGGUACAUUUAAAACCUCACCCCCUGAGAGCAUCUAGUACAUUCAACAUCCAAAUAAAUUCUAAUUCUCAAGGCUAAAAUAAAUCAAAGAGUACCUAACAACAUCCAUUUCUUAAGCCCAAAAGGGCUUAUUAGCUUCACUACUGGGAAUU